rnacentral:rRNA from 1 species
CCUACGGGAGGCUGCAGUGAGGAAUAUUGGUCAAUGGGCGGGAGCCUGAACCAGCCAAGUCGCGUGAGGGACGACGGUCCUAUGGAUUGUAAACCUCUUUUGUCGGGGAACAAAGGCGUCCACGGGUGGGCGGAUGAGUGUACCCGAAGAAAAAGCAUCGGCUAACUCCGUGCCAGCAGCCGCGGUAAUACGGAGGAUGCGAGCGUUAUCCGGAUUUAUUGGGUUUAAAGGGUGCGUAGGCGGACAGUCAAGUCAGCGGUAAAAUUGCGGUGCUCAACGCCGUCCCGCCGUUGAUACUGGCAGACUAGAGUGAGCUAGAGGUAUGCGGAAUGCGAGGUGUAGCGGUGAAAUGCAUAGAUAUCACGAAGAACUCCGAUGGCGAAGGCAGCAUACCGGCGCCCUACUGACGCUGAGGCACGAAAGCGUGGGUAUCGAACAGGAUUAGAUACCCCAGUAGUC